GACGAAUGCUGGCGGCGUGCCUAAUACAUGCAAGUUGAGCGCUGAAGGUUGGUACUUGUACCAACUGGAUGAGCAGCGAACGGGUGAGUAACGCGUGGGAAAUCUGCCUUUGAGCGGGGGACAACAUUUGGAAACGAAUGCUAAUACCGCAUAAAAACUUUAAACACAAGUUUUAAGUUUGAAAGAUGCAAUUGCAUCACUCAAAGAUGAUCCCGCGUUGUAUUAGCUAGUUGGUGAGGUAAAGGCUCACCAAGGCGAUGAUACAUAGCUGACCUGAGAGGGUGAUCGGCCACAUUGGGACUGAGACACGGCCCAAACUCCUACGGGAGGCAGCAGUAGGGAAUCUUCGGCAAUGGACGAAAGUCUGACCGAGCAACGCCGCGUGAGUGAAGAAGGUUUUCGGAUCGUAAAACUCUGUUGGUAGAGAAGAACGUUGGUGAGAGUGGAAAGCUCAUCAAGUGACGGUAACUACCCAGAAAGGGACGGCUAACUACGUG
rnacentral:rRNA from 1 species